rnacentral:rRNA from 1 species
AUUGAACGCUGGCGGCAGGCCUAACACAUGCAAGUCGAGCGGAUGAAGGGAGCUUGCUCCUGGAUUCCGCGGCGGACGGGUGAGUAAUGCCUAGGAAUCUGCCUGGUAGUGGGGGAUAACGUCCGGAAACGGGCGCUAAUACCGCAUACGUCCUGAGGGAGAAAGUGGGGGAUCUUCGGACCUCACGCGAUUAGAUGAGCCUAGGUCGGAUUAGCUAGUUGGUGGGGUAACGGCCUACCAAGGCGACGAUCCGUAACCGGUCUGAGAGGAUGAUCAGUCACACUGGAACUGAGACACGGUCCAGACUCCUACGGGAGGCAGCAGUAGGGAAUAUUGGGCAAUGGGCGAAAGCCUGAUCCAGCAAUGCCGCGUGUGUGAAGAAGGUCUUCGGAUUGUAAAGCACUUUAAGUUGGGAGGAAGGACAGUAAGUUAAUACCUUGCUGUCUUGACGUUACCAACAGAAUAAGCACCGGCUAACUUCGUG